ensembl:lncRNA
GUUUUUGUAAUGUCGGCUUGGAAAUCUCAUUGCAGCCUGUUUCAGCAAACGAGAUACGAACACAACAGUGAAAUGAAAGAGCAGCUCAUCAAGAGCACUUUGGGUUCCUGGAGAAACUUCCCACAGUGCAAAAGAGUUUCUAAGCUGUCCUGAAGAAAAAGACAAACUUGGGAGGAGCAGAAGAUCCCUUGCUUGCUGUUGGUCUUCAUUGUCAGAGCCAGUUUCUGGAAGAUCUGAAAUCUCUUCUGACAGACCCACUGGGAUCUCUGGUGGCUUGGCUGCUGAGUAGGCACAUUGAAGAAAAUCAAAAACUAUGUCUUCUGUUUGGGCCUAAAAUGUGGCUGUGUCCAACCACCAGCUCUCCAGGAAAGUUCCUCUUCAGAGGGCAAGACUAGGACGAGAGUUCUGUCUCCCUCUUUUAUGGCAUGGAUGGACCUCAUUGGGAUGUUCUUUUUCUCCUGCUGAAAACUUCUGCCAGCACCAGGGCAUAGACAGUCGUCUGCAUGACUGUCAGUGCUGUGAUGGAUUGGAGCAGGCUGGGAAGGCAGCAAGAGGGUGGGGAACAAGGAUGGCAAGAAUGUUCUCCAACACCGUUACCACCCGGAGCUUCUAGUUACUCUUCUGUCCCAAAAGGUAAUGCCAUUAUCCAAGAAAAG